rnacentral:sRNA from 1 species
UUUUUGCGUGAGGGAUAGCAACGGCAUCCUUUUGUGAGGAUACGAACAAAAAUAUAGUGGAUAGCCCGACCUGAU